rnacentral:tRNA from 1 species
GCGCUCGUAGCUCAAUUGGAUAGAGCGUCUGACUACGGAUCAGAAGGUUGUGGAUUCGAUUUCUGCCGGGCGCACCA